AACGAACGCUGGCGGCAGGCUUAACACAUGCAAGUCGAACGCAUCCUUCGGGGUGAGUGGCAGACGGGUGAGUAACGCGUGGGAACGUGCCCUUCAGUUCGGGAUAACCCAGGGAAACUUGGGCUAAUACCGGAUACGUGCGAGAGCAGAAAGAUUUAUCGCUGAAGGAUCGGCCCGCGUCUGAUUAGCUAGUUGGUGGGGUAAUGGCCCACCAAGGCGACGAUCAGUAGCUGGUCUGAGAGGAUGAUCAGCCACAGUGGGACUGAGACACGGCCCAACCUCCUCCGGGAGGCAGCAGUGGGGAAUAUUGGACAAUGGGCGCAAGCCUGAUCCAGCCAUGCCGCGUGAGUGAUGAAGGCCUUAGGGUUGUAAAGCUCUUUCGUCCGGGACGAUAAUGACGGUACCGGAAGAAGAAGCCCCGGCUAACUUCGUGCCAGCCGCCGCCGUAA
rnacentral:rRNA from 1 species